rnacentral:piRNA from 1 species
GGAAAGAGCAGGACUAGGACCA